CAUGCAAGUCGAGCGGACGGAUGGGAGCUUGCUCCCUGAAGUCAGCGGCGGACGGGUGAGUAACACGUGGGCAACCUGCCUGUAAGACUGGGAUAACUUCGGGAAACCGGAGCUAAUACCGGAUAAUGCACAGCCUCUCAUGAGGUUAUGCUGAAAGAUGGUUUCGGCUAUCACUUACAGAUGGGCCCGCGGCGCAUUAGCUAGUUGGUGAGGUAACGGCUCACCAAGGCAACGAUGCGUAGCCGACCUGAGAGGGUGAUCGGCCACACUGGGACUGAGACACGGCCCAGACUCCUACGGGAGGCAGCAGUAGGGAAUCUUCCGCAAUGGACGAAAGUCUGACGGAGCAACGCCGCGUGAGUGAUGAAGGUUUUCGGAUCGUAAAACUCUGUUGUCAGGGAAGAACAAGUGCCGGAGUAACUGCCGGCACCUUGACGGUACCUGACCAGAAAGCCACGGCUAACUACGUGCCAGCAGCCGCGGUAAUACGUAGGUGGCAAGCGUUGUCCGGAAUUAUUGGGCGUAAAGCGCGCGCAGGCGGUCUCUUAAGUCUGAUGUGAAAGCCCACGGCUCAACCGUGGAGGGUCAUUGGAAACUGGGGGACUUGAGUGCAGAAGAGGAAAGUGGAAUUCCACGUGUAGCGGUGAAAUGCGUAGAGAUGUGGAGGAACACCAGUGGCGAAGGCGACUUUCUGGUCUGUAACUGACGCUGAGGCGCGAAAGCGUGGGGAGCAAACAGGAUUAGAUACCCUGGUAGUCCACGCCGUAAACGAUGAGUGCUAAGUGUUAGAGGGUUUCCGCCCUUUAGUGCUGCAGCAAACGCAUUAAGCACUCCGCCUGGGGAGUACGGCCGCAAGGCUGAAACUCAAAGGAAUUGACGGGGGG
rnacentral:rRNA from 1 species